rnacentral:rRNA from 1 species
UACGUAGGGUCCGAGCGUUGUCCGGAAUUACUGGGCGUAAAGAGCUCGUAGGUGGUUUGUCGCGUUGUUCGUGAAAAUUCACAGCUCAACUGUGGGCGUGCGGGCGAUACGGGCAGACUUGAGUACUGCAGGGGAGACUGGAAUUCCUGGUGUAGCGGUGGAAUGCGCAGAUAUCAGGAGGAACACCGGUGGCGAAGGCGGGUCUCUGGGCAGUAACUGACGCUGAGGAGCGAAAGCGUGGGGAGCGAACAGG